GCAUAUGGAGGUUCCCAGGCUAGGGGGUUGAAUCAGAGCUACAGCUACUGGCCUACACCACAGCUCACAGCAACGCCAGAUCCUUAACCCACUGAGUGAGGCCAGGGAUCGAACCCACAACCUCAUGGUUCCUAGUCAGAUUUGUUUCUGCCGCACCACAACGGGCACUCCUCAUGCUCUUUUUUAUCUUUUUCUUAAGAAAACAUUUUUCUCUUAUAGAAAUAAUAUAUGAGUGAUCAUUUUAAGAAAACAUAAAAAUGUAAAUAAAAAUAAAAUUCACAACAAACUCCUCUCCCAGAAAUAGUCACUGAUACAUACCGAGGUCUUGUCUAGUUCUUUCCAUAUCUCAGGUCCUUUACUUUCGUGGUGUCCUACUGAAAGCGCGACAGGAGGGGAAGUGGCAGGGAUGUGACAGAGACCUUUCAUGUGUUUCUUCUCUAUAGAGGUGUUGCUUGGAUCUUUUACAACAAAAUGUAUUCACGCCUUAGUUACAUAGUCAAAGAAUUGAAAAUAAUUGGGAGUAAAAUCCAGAGAAAGAAAAAGAAUGUGUUGAUCAAAAAGGGAGAAUUGUCAACCCUAGAAAUAUUUUAGAAAUAUCACCUCAUAAUAAGAACUCUUUGGUUAACGAUCAGGCUCACACAGGCAGGAAUGAAGACAUGCAUCAGUCCGUCAAAGCAGGAUGCCACUAACCCUCCCUGACCAGCUCCUUAUUAGUGCCGGGUCUGAUUCUGUGCCUGCCAGACCACUUUCUGAAUAGAAUUUAACUUCCCAUGUAGUUUGCUUACAGGGUAAGAAUGUUCUGGGUAGACUACUGUCAAUGUUCCAACUCUCUGUCUGACAGACCUUUCCACUAAUUACAUUAAUUGGCUUUUAAAUAUUUCUUCACUCUCUGAGAGCUCUAUUGGUCAAUCAGCAUCACUAAAUUAUGUCAACCCAGGACACUAUCAACUUGAACUUUCCAGAACUGUAAGUAGGACCCUGGAUUAUGAGAAGUUCACCAUAAUGCCAUUUCAAAGAGUACUUUCUAGGGUGAGGAGGGAGAAGACUACAGCAGACACCCCUGCUCUUACACGCCUAGGAUGUACCAGCAAAUGCCAUCAGAGCACCACUGUUAACAUGCCUCAUAUCAUAUGUUGGGACGGGGCCAGUCUUGGGCCAUUUAACAGCACUGUGACAUGGAGGUGGUGUGGGGCAGAUUCUGAGGAGACACUAGCCACAGACCCCGGGGGAAAUGCCAUCCAGCAGGCAGAAGAUCGCAUCUGGCUCAGGCGAUAGUAGAUGCUACCAGUUUCGGCAAACAUUCGGUCUCAGUGAAUGCGGGCAGGAGUGAGGCGUGGUGAGGGCUGAGAAGAGCAGUAGUGGAAGGAAAUCCUAGAGCAAAGGAGCAGCAGGCAUCCAGGCAGGUACUGACCUCUGGUGAGACCAUCUACAGACAUCAAUACGUGGUACUAGGCUUCUUUCAUUCAUUCAUUUAACAAAUAUUUACCAGAUUCCUCAACAGGACUCUCAUGCACCCACACACCUUGCUGGGUGUGCCAAGGACGCAGGGCCUGACUAUUCUUUGCUUGGGCCAUUUCUCAGGGUUGUGUUGUCAGCAAGCAACCCUGAAGGAUGAGGUAAUGUCUCCCUUGGGGACACAGCGCAGGCUUGCUGACUACUCAAAAUCAAAGUCAUGACUUCCCCCAGCUCAGUGUUCCUCACCUAGAGCACAAAUUCACUGGAUAUGCCAACUCCAUCUAGCCCAGGUCAUGUGUCCUCCAUGAGAAAUGGGGGCAAGGGAAACCUGAUACAAACAUGCUGCUUGUUAUCUCGGGGGUAAGAAAGUCCUUUGUUUCCAACUUUGGAGUCUCAUGUCAGCAUUCAUGGAAUAGUGAAAGGCUAGCCCACUAGCUUGUAGGCUAGAGAAUCAAAUUCUAGACCUGAGAGCACCUUGGGGCCCCAUACUGGGUCCUGAAGCUAAAGCAGUGCACAAAACCAGCCUGGUUCCUGUUCUCUCAGAAGAUCCAGGCGAAAGAGGGAGACAAACGGAUGAGGAAACAACCAAGAUGUGAGCAGCACUCUGCAGAGAAUAGGGAUGGGGUGAUAUACUAGAAACGUCCAGGUGGCUACUUGAGAUGGAGUAGCUAGAGGAGGCCAAGGAGUGCACAGGAAUGCAAAGCCACCUGGAGGAAAUUGUUGCAGCAAGAGGAGCAGGGCAGGUGCAGGAGGCCAAAGGCAGGGCUAGCCAGCAAGGCCAGAGCGAGGUGAGCAUGGGUAGAUGGGGUGUGGGGAGGUCAGUAGGGAACUAGAGCCUUGCCCUUGAGGCAAAAGCUGGGUGGGGGUGGAUUUCUUUUCAGAUGCAAGGGGAAGCCACCGGGGAAUUUUAAGAAGGGGCAUAAAUGACCCGAUUUGGGUUUUUUAAACUAGCUCCAGCUGCUCAGUGAGGAAACAUGAGUGUAGUGGGCAGGAAUGGAAGCAUUUAGGAAGCCGUUGCUUUAGUCCAGGAGAAACAGGAUAAUGGCUUGGACAAGGACGGGUGGAAGAGAGCUGAAGUGAAGUUGGCACAUGUGGGCUCUGUUUUGGGUGUUUUGCUUUGUUUUUUUGUCUUUUUAGGGCCACACCCAUAGCAUAUGGAAGUUCCCAGGCUAGGGGUUGAAUCAGAGCUGCAGUUGCCAGCCUACGCCACAGCCACAGCAACACCAGAUCCGAGCCACGGAAAUUCCACAUAUUGAGUUGAAAGAGCCACUUCAGAGAUGAAACCCAGAGAGACGCAUAGUUGAAGGGAGUGCUUUGAGGUAUUAUUAUUCCACUUAACAGGUGUUUAUUUGAGCCUGGAGUUCUGGGGAAGGCCAGGACAGGGGUACCACUUGGGAUCAUCCCCAUCUGUAUGGUAUUUGAGCUGUUGGAAGAAGACCUGCAGGGAUAAUAUGGAUGAAAAAGAAAGACCCAGACCCCUGUCCCAAGACUGCCAACCUUGUAGAGGCGACAUGAGGAACCAGAGCCCAGAAAUGAGACAUCUAGGAGGGGCUGUCAAAGUAGAGGGAAAUCCUAGAGAAUGUGGUGUCACAAAGUCCCCCAAGAAAAUAGUGGCUUCAAGGAGAACAGAUGGGUGGCUGUCGAACACUGCUGAGAAGACUGUCCCAUGCAGUUUUCCUGAGAGCAGAGCUCCAUGUCCUGCCCUAGUUACUGGCAACUGGGGUCCUGGGACAGAGAUAUCAAGCAAGGGGCACACCACAGCUCAGAGGACAGUUUCCAUUACACCGAAUGAGGGCAUGGGGCCACCCAAGUCCUACAAUUACAGUGGCUUCUGCUGACAACACAAAGAGAGGUCUUGUCCAGAAUGUGACAUGCUUACGGCCCCUCUGCCUAGCCACCCCACCUUCUCACCUGUCGUCUGAGGGCCCAGAGGGAGGGCUAUGGCUGGGUAUGCACUUUUCUUUCUCUUGUCUUUCUCAUCUUUCCCACUAAGCUAAAGGUACUCACCCUUCAAUGCCUGCUUCUCCUCACUCAAUACACAUCCAUCAAUUGCUCUGUGUUCAGUCCUGUGCAUUCACAUCCUUGAUAGUAGUUAAUCCUCACAAGACACUUUGAGGUAUUAUUAUUCCACUUAACAAAAGGGGGGGAAGAGUCAGAAAGGCUAAGCAACUUGCUCAAAGUCACACAGCUUGCAAGUGGUGAAAAUGGGAUUCAAACCGAGGACUCUGGCCCUCCCAACAGCUCUGCCUGACUGCAGAUGUGGUUAGGAUAGGGAUUCUGCAGCCCAGAAGAAGUCUCAAAGCAAAAGACUGAAGAGGCAAUAACACAAAACACACACAACUACAACUACCUAAACUAUAUCAUUACAAUGUAAAUUAAGGUAAGAGGAAAUACAAAUUGCUAUGGAGAUCAGAAAAUGCUUCUUGGGAGUUUCUGUCACGGCUCAGCAGUAACUAACCUGACUAGUAUCCAUGAGAAUGCCAGUUUGAUCCCUGGCCUCACUCAGUGGGUUAAGGAUUGGCAUUGCUGUGAACUAUGAUGUAGGUUGCAGAUGCAAUUAGGAUCCCGCAUUGCUAUGGCUGUGGUGUAGGCCAGCAGCUACAGCUCCAAUUCAACCCAUAGCCUGGGAACUUCCAUAUGCCACAGGUGAGGCCCUACCAAGAAAAAAAAAAAAAAUCCUUCUUGGAGGGAGCAGGGUGUCCAAUGGGAGUUGGACAGGACAGGAGGGGUUUGUAGGGCUGAGGCUGUUCUGUUGGGAGGAUGUGCAAAGAGAAAGAGGCGGCCUCUCCUUGACCAACCCCCAUCGACUCAGGGCCGAGACCCAGCCUUGCCUACCUCACCAUCCCCCUUGGCAGGGCUUUCCAUCUCUCACGUUUCCUUUAUCCCUACAUUCCCAGGGCCUAACCCAAGGCCACACACGUAGAAAGUGCCAAGUGAGGGUUUCCUGAGUUCAACAAUGUCCUGGUCUCCUAUUUCUAGUCUCUCCUUUCUCAAAUAUAUCUCUAUAUUAACUUCCAUGGCCAACCCUAUCCACAGUUAAACCUACUCUUCUAGAGAAUUUAUCUGGCCCAUAGUUCCAGGAAAUCUCCAUGCGAAUACUCAAUAAUUCACACACCCACAAACCCCCAAAGCAGGCCACAGCUGACAUGACCCAGUCCAAUUUGUUGACUGUGCAACUCUGAAUACACUAAAAACCAUUAAAUUGCAUAUAUCAAGGGGGUGAACUGAAUGGUAUGUGAAUUAGAUCUCAAUAAAGCUGUUACAUAUAUGGCUUUAAAAUCUCCCCCUGGUAUCUGAUGCCUCCAGAACUUGAGGCAACAUUCAUUCAUUCAUUCAUCUGUUUAUUCAAUACAUAUUUACUGGGCAUCUACUUUCUAUCAUUUACUCAACAAAUAUAUAUUGACCACCUAUGCCGUGUCAGACUCUGUUCUAUACACAAAGGGUCCAGCAAAAAACAUGCAAAAAAAAAAAAAUCUAGCCUUUGAGUUGCUUACAUUCUCAUGGAUGAAAAGAGGCAAUGAAGAAAAUAAAUAGGAGGACUGUAUACAGUGUAAUACAUUGAAAGCAACUGCAGGUACGGAGAAAAAUAAAGCAGGGAAAAGGGAUGGUCGGCAGGGGACUAGGGGAGGGAGGAGCUACAGUUAUAAACAAGGCGGGCAGGGAAAACCUCCACGAGCAAGUGACAUUUGGAGGUGAGCGAGUGAAGCAUGCAAACAGCUGGAAGAGGAAGAACAACCUAGGCUGGGACAACAGCAAGUGCCAAGGUCCCGAGGUGGACGUGCCUGGCGUAUGCAAGGAACAUCUAAGGAGCAGAGUCAGUAAGAAGGAAAGUAGAGGAUAUGAGAUUAGAGAAGUAAAGGGAGAAACAAAUUCUGCUCUUCCGUAGAGGUGGGGCAUAGUGGGGUGUGUACAUCUAAAAAUAGCAGAGGUUAUUCUGGAUGUUGGCCCCACAAGUGGCACAGAUGCAGCUUGCCUGGUUUCUAGAUAAGGCUACAAUCAC
rnacentral:lncRNA from 1 species